rnacentral:rRNA from 1 species
ACGGGGAGCACCACAACAGGUGGAGCCCGCGGUUUAAUCGGACUCAACGCCGGGAAACUCACCAGAUAAGACAGCUGAAUGAUAGUCGGGCUGAAGACUCUACUUGACUAGCUGAGAGGAGGUGCAUGGCCGUCGUCAGUUCGUACUGUGAAGCAUCCUGUUAAGUCAGGCAACGAGCGAGACCCACGCCAACAGUUGCCAGCUCGUCCUCCGGGAUGGUGGGGACACUGUUGGGACCGCCUCUGCUAAAGAGGAGGAAGGAAUGGGCAACGGUAGGUCAGCAUGCCCCGAAUUAUCUGGGCUACACGCGGGCUACAAUGGGUGGGACAAUGGGUAUCGACACCGAAAGGUGAAGGCAAUCUCCUAAACCCAUCCGUAGUUCGGAUUGUGGGCUGCAACUCGCCCACAUGAAGCUGGAAUCUGUAGUAAUCGUGUCUCAAAAUGGCACGGUGAAUAUGUCCCUGCUCCUU